UGCCCGGUGGUGUAAUGGUAACACAUCGGCUUUUGGAGCCGAGUUUCGAGGUUCGAGUCCUCGCCGGGCAG
rnacentral:tRNA from 1 species